rnacentral:rRNA from 1 species
AACGAACGCUGGCGGCAGGCUUAACACAUGCAAGUCGAGCGGGCGUAGCAAUACGUCAGCGGCAGACGGGUGAGUAACGCGUGGGAACGUACCUUUUGGUUUGGAACAACACAGGGAAACUUGUGCUAAUACCGGAUAAGCCCUUACGGGGAAAGAUUUAUCGCCGAAAGAUCGGCCCGCGUCUGAUUAGCUUGUUGGUGAGGUAACGGCGCACCAAGGCGACGAUCAGUAGCUGGUCUGAGAGGAUGAUCAGCCACAUUGGGACUGAGACACGGCCCAACCUCCUCCGGAAGGCAGCAGUGGGGAGUAUGGGACAAUGGGCGCAAGCCUGAUCCAGCCUUGCCGCGUGAGUGAUGAAGGCCCUAGGGUUGUAAAGCUCUUUUAACGGGGAAGAUAAUGGCGGUACCCGUAGAAUAAGCCCCGGCUAACUUCGUGCCAGCCGCCGCAGUAA